rnacentral:sRNA from 1 species
GAGACAGCUUUGGAAACUGAAACCCAGUGUCUAUCCACAGAUUGGAUAUGGUAUAGGUAGCUGCAGUAAAAGCUUUCCUACAAUGAUUUUCCAGUGUUCCCCAGCGCAGUGUGGAGGGACCACCUUGAUAAUAAUGCAACUUCCUUGUCUAGUCAAUUUCUGGUAUCC